AAAGAGAAAAAAAAAAAAAAAAGGACCCCCCCCAUCCGACCUCAUUCUCCUCCUCUCCUCCUCCUCCUACUUCACCUUUGCAAACAAAACAAGCGAGACGCCGCACGAAGAAUCAAACAAAAUUCUGUCUCUGAACGCCCUGCAGGCUGAAACUAGUUUUUGUUUGUGUAACACCAAAUUCAAGUAUAACAUUUAAUCAUUAACCAAAUAUCGUAAGAUCAGCAAAGUGUUAUUUGAUUUACCUCCAG